GAUGAACGCUGGCGGCGUGCUUAACACAUGCAAGUCGAACGAAGCACUUUAUUUGAUUUCCUUCGGGACUGAUUAUUUUGUGACUGAGUGGCGGACGGGUGAGUAACGCGUGGGUAACCUGCCUUGUACAGGGGGAUAACAGUUGGAAACGGCUGCUAAUACCGCAUAAGCGCACGGCAUCGCAUGAUGCAGUGUGAAAACCUCCGGUGGUAUAAGAUGGACCCGCGUUGGAUUAGCUAGUUGGUGAGGUAACGGCCCACCAAGGCGACGAUCCAUAGCCGACCUGAGAGGGUGACCGGCCACAUUGGGACUGAGACACGGCCCAAACUCCUACGGGAGGCAGCAGUGGGGAAUAUUGCACAAUGGGCGAAAGCCUGAUGCAGCGACGCCGCGUGAGCGAAGAAGUAUUUCGGUAUGUAAAGCUCUAUCAGCAGGGAAGAUAAUGACGGUACCUGACUAAGAAGCACCGGCGAAAUACG
rnacentral:rRNA from 1 species